UUAACUCUAUUUUUAUUUCAAAUAUAACUAGUAUGCUUUCUUAAAAAUCGUCAAUUACAUAAGAUUAUAAAAAUCGGCAAUUUCAAAAAUUCAUACAGUUGCCUACGUAUGUAUGUGCGCAAUGAGCACGAUCCUACCUGAAUCAGAUCAAUUAGUACGCUUACUUACGUCAUGCUUUACUUUACGAUUUCAUUGUAUCUCAUCCACUUGGUACGGAUAGUAAUAGUACGUAUAAUUUGAGCUUUUUGUUUCAGCUGAAAAUCGAAUUCGAGGCCUGAUUCUUUUCGAAUUACAUGCAGCCCACGCAGACCUUAGUAGGAGACAUACAGAAAUGGAGAUUUUAGUGCCAUUAUUGCAGGAGUCAAAGAAGUAUUUAGUUGAUGGCUAUCAAUUACUGAAGUACGAACCAAAAGUUCUACCGGAAGGAAAAAUAGCUCAACAUGCAGAACAAAAUUUACACGAAAUAAAUAAGCUCUUAAAACGAUUCAAUGUAACAUAAACUUUAUCAGUACGUAGUUUGCUAAGUAAGUUCUACGUUUGGGAGUAAAUAUUAAACGAAAAACAAAACUGUAUAUAUACAUAGCCUUCGUAAGCAACAAACAUAUCGAAAUAAAAUUGUUAAAAAAAUUUUAAUAAGUAUAAUUACAAGCGGUAGUUAUCAUGUAUUAGCAUUCUUUGAUUGAGGAGUUCAUUUUUAGCACAUGUUAGAAAAAUUAACACAUGAAUCAAUGAUAUAAUUUAUAUUAACGUUCUCUUAAUUUGGUAAGUAAUUUUAGAAACUUCUAACGAAUCAACAAUCUUAGUUCUUCUGAAAGGGAUACGACGAUAGAAUAAAUUCUCCACAUGCUUUAUAUAUAUUUUGCCGGCAGCGAAAAAUACUGAAAAAAUACCGAAUGUACAACAGAGAGGGAUAUAGUAGGGGUACAAUACAGUACAGGGCGGAAACGAUAGAAAAAGAUUAAAAGUUUAUGUAUCAGGGAAUAUUACCGUUGCAACGACAAACCUUCUUUCUUUUCGGUUCCUUGUGAAAAAAGAUUUUGCUACUGACGAACCUUUUUUGAAUAAAGUGAGAUCGAACAUGA